UACGGAGGGUGCAAGCGUUAUCCGGAUUUACUGGGUUUAAAGGGUGUGUAGGCGGAUUAUUAAGUCAGCGGUGAAAUCUCCGGGCUCAACCCGGAAACUGCCAUUGAUACUAUUAGUCUUGGACAUUGUUGAGGUGGGCGGAACGGGUCAUGUAGCGGUGAAAUGCAUAGAUAUGACCCGGAACACCGAUUGCGAAGGCAGCCCACUAAGCAAUGAUUGACGCUGAGGCACGAAAGCGUGGGGAUCAAACAGG
rnacentral:rRNA from 1 species